rnacentral:rRNA from 1 species
AUGCAAGUAGAACGCUGAAGGAGGAGCUUGCUUCUCUGGAUGAGUUGCGAACGGGUGAGUAACGCGUAGGUAACCUGCCUGGUAGCGGGGGAUAACUAUUGGAAACGAUAGCUAAUACCGCAUAAUAGUAGAUGUUGCAUGACAUUUGCUUAAAAGGUGCAAUUGCAUCACUACCAGAUGGACCUGCGUUGUAUUAGCUAGUUGGUGGGGUAACGGCUCACCAAGGCGACGAUACAUUGCCGACCUGAGAGGGUGAUCGGCCACACUGGGACUGAGACACGGCCCAGACUCCGACGGGAGGCAGCAGUAGGGAAUCUUCGGCAAUGGACGGAAGUCUGACCGAGCAACGCCGCGUGAGUGAAGAAGGUUUUCGGAUCGUAAAGCUCUGUUGUAAGAGAAGAACGAGUGUGAGAGUGGAAAGUUCACACUGUGACGGUAUCUUACCAGAAAGGGACGGCUAACUACGUGCCAGCAGCCGCGGUAAUACGUAGGUCCCGAGCGUUGUCCGGAUUUAUUGGGCGUAAAGCGAGCGCAGGCGGUUAGAUAAGUCUGAAGUUAAAGGCUGUGGCUUAACCAUAGUACGCUUUGGAAACUGUUUAACUUGAGUGCAAGAGGGGAGAGUGGAAUUCCAUGUGUAGCGGUGAAAUGCGUAGAUAUAUGGAGGAACACCGGUGGCGAAAGCGGCUCUCUGGCUUGUAACUGACGCUGAGGCUCGAAAGCGUGGGGAGCAAACAGGAUUAGAUACCCUGGUAGUCCACGCCGUAAACGAUGAGUGCUAGGUGUUAGACCCUUUCCGGGGUUUAGUGCCGCAGCUAACGCAUUAAGCACUCCGCCUGGGGAGUACGACCGCAAGGUUGAAACUCAAAGGAAUUGACGGGGGCCCGCACAAG